GCUGGGCAUGGUGGUGUGUGCCUGUAAUCCCAGCUACUCGGGAAGCUGAGGCAGGAGAAUCACUUGAUCCCAGGAGGUGGAGGUUGUAGUGAGCCAAGAUCACGCCACUGCACUCCAGUCUGGGCAAUAAAGAGAGAUUCUGCCUCAA
rnacentral:SRP_RNA from 1 species